CCUACGGGAGGCAGCAGUGGGGAAUAUUGGACAAUGGGCGAAAGCCUGAUCCAGCAAUUCCGCGUGUGUGAAGAAGGCCUUCGGGUUGUAAAGCACUUUAGUGGGGGAAGAAACAGCUUGGCCACACCAAGCCUUGACGGUACCCCAAGAAUAAGCACCGGCUAACUCUGUGCCAGCAGCCGCGGUAAUACAGAGGGUGCAAGCGUUAAUCGGAUUUACUGGGCGUAAAGGGUGCGUAGGUGGCUAUUUAAGUCGGAUGUGAAAGCCCGGGGCUCAACCUCGGAAUUGCAUUCGAUACUGAGUGGCUAGAGUUCGGUAGAGGGCGGCGGAAUUUCCGGUGUAGCGGUGAAAUGCGUAGAUAUCGGAAGGAACAUCAAUGGCGAAGGCAGCCGCCUGGGCCUGGACUGACACUGAGGCACGAAAGCGUGGGUAGCAAACAGGAUUAGAUACCCUGGUAGUCCACGCCGUAAACGAUGAGAACUUGACGUUGGUUCGUUUUACGAAUCGGUGUCGCAGCUAACGCGAUAAGUUCUCCGCCUGGGGAGUACGGCCGCAAAGGUUGAAACGUUACGAAAGUAGUAGGCGUUGUGAGAGCGACGACGACGACGACGGAGGAGGAG
rnacentral:rRNA from 1 species